UACGGGGGGGGCAAGCGUUGUUCGGAAUUACUGGGCGUAAAGGGCUCGUAGGCGGCCAACUAAGUCAGACGUGAAAUCCCCAGGCUCAACCUGGGAACUGCGUCUGAUACUGGUUGGCUUGAAUCCGGGAGAGGGAUGCAGAAUUCCAGGUGUAGCGGUGAAACGCGUAGAUAUCUGGAGGAAUACCGGUGGCGAAGGCGGCAUCCUGGACCGGCAUUGACGCUGAGGAACGAAAGCUAGGGGAGCAAACGGG
rnacentral:rRNA from 1 species